rnacentral:rRNA from 1 species
GUCCUACGGGUGGCUGCAGUGGGGAAUAUUGGACAAUGGGCGCAAGCCUGAUCCAGCCAUGCCGCGUGUGUGAAGAAGGCCUUUUGGUUGUAAAGCACUUUAAGCGAGGAGGAGGCUACUUGGAUUAAUACUCUAGGAUAGUGGACGUUACUCGCAGAAUAAGCACCGGCUAACUCUGUGCCAGCAGCCGCGGUAAUACAGAGGGUGCGAGCGUUAAUCGGAUUUACUGGGCGUAAAGCGUGCGUAGGCGGCUUCUUAAGUCGGAUGUGAAAUCCCUGAGCUUAACUUAGGAAUUGCAUUCGAUACUGGGAAGCUAGAGUAUGGGAGAGGAUGGUAGAAUUCCAGGUGUAGCGGUGAAAUGCGUAGAGAUCUGGAGGAAUACCGAUGGCGAAGGCAGCCAUCUGGCCUAAUACUGACGCUGAGGUACGAAAGCAUGGGGAGCAAACAGGAUUAGAUACCCCGGUAGUCAA